UAAAACAUGCGCAUGAGUCACGGCAGUAUUUUCUGACGGGGAUUGGAGAUAAAUCCCACAGCAACUUGUGAUAAACUGGUCCUGGAUUCUCUAACAAACUGUUGUUCUGAAAGGUGUUGGAAGAUCAUGGCAUGCCAAUGGAUGACAGUGAAUUUAAUCUGCUAACAGAAACGCUACGGUUACCAGAUGGAGGGUUGAGUUAUUUGGAUUUUGUGGCAAUACUGGAAGAUGCCAGACUGAAUGGGCCAGGAGCUCCAUUAUGUGAUAGCCAUCUCACAGACUAAAUGGUGACAUCUUUUUACUUCAUCUUGGAGGUGAGGAAAUCCUGCAUCUACUUGGUUUGUGGGGAACAAACUUGACCUCCAUGUUAAAUUACCAAGAAUUCCAUCAACUCUUCCACACCUAAGAAACCAAGGAGUUUGGCUCGUGCCAUCUCACAAGUAAGAAAGAAAAAGUUGUGUAGUACCUACAGUAAUCUGAUGUGUUUACAGAAAUGAAUAUGCUGUGUGAAAAUUUGUAUUGGAUAUAACUGAAAAAAAAAGACAUUAUUAAAAAUGUCUUUAUCAAGCUGAAGCUGGGUAGCUUUACCAAGUUCUCAGUGAUUUAUGACUCUGUUAAAUUAGAUAUUGAAUCCACUACUGGGUUAAAAUGCCAGAACUACCCCAGGGGACUGCUUAAAUUUGUAAGGUCAAGCAUAUAUACUGGUGCCUGAGAUGCAGCCUUAGAGCUGAGCUAGCCUCCAAACAGGACAACUUUGCUGCAUCUUCCAGGCAUGCAGAGCUGGGGAUGUGGUUUGGGAAUCAGAUGUCAUUUUGAAUUCAGGAGCAGCCAGGGUAGUUCGCUGCCUGGCACAGUGUCUGUCAGUUCUGAGGCUGGUAUUAUCAGUGUAUGUUACGGUAGACCAAAGGCUCAUGCCCCAGACCUUUAAUGAUAAAGCAUUUCAGCACUAAAAAAUUAAUUCUAAAACCUCAGUGUGAAACUCUGUUUAACUAUGCAAACAGAGAAAAAAAUCAUAAAAAUAAUGACAAGAUACAGCAGGACUGAAAAUGCUCCCGAUCAGCAACUCAUCUCCGCUGUGGCAGUGAAGAUGUGAUAUAUACACAUAGGCUUAUUUCCCAGUUUUUAUUUGUCUUUUGCAGCAUUACUCCUGGCUCUGAUGUUAGUAAUAUUUAUCUGCUUGGUUUGUUUUUCUUUUUUCCUGAAUUGGACAACUGAAUGAAUCAAGGACAUCAGUUCAAAACAAGAAAGGAGACUGGUGAUGAUUGAGUCUUGCAAACAUUUGGAGUCUGAGACCAAUUACCGUCAUGCUCUUGUUUCCAUUUCAGUUUGGACUUUGCUAGAAAUUGAAACAUUUUGAAUUUAGCUCCAGAAUUUCCUUAUUUCAAAUACUAUUAUUGUUUCACAAGUCCAGUAAAGAAAAUAGUGAUUGAAAGCCUUAAGAGCACUUGCAUUUUCCCAGUUAUGUUUUUAGACUGUUUUUGUGGGUUGAUUAUUUAGGCUUAUGGAAUCUUCUCUCUAGCAGUGGGAGUGGAGAAAACCCAGAAGGUUCCCAGGCACCUGAAAUAGAUUAAAGCGGCAUUCAUGUUUCUAAAUCUGAACAGAGCUCUCAGCAAAGGCUGUCAAGGCCCAGAGCCCCAGGAGCUCAGGGAUCGCUGAGUUUGCAGUGUUGCAGUUCUCCAGGACCUAAGUUCUGCUCUGUGCCCACCUGGGUGGUACAGGAACUCAGUGGGUAGAUCACAUGUAGUUACUGCAUCUCACCUGGUCUGCAGACCCAAUAUACCUCUGCCUCUUGUUUGAGAAUCUUUGUCCAAGAAGUGUAUUCCUGGAGCUCAGCUGAACCGGGCUCUGAAGCCGUAUGUCUGUAACAUUUCCUUACAAAGCAAUAGCCAGAGCAGGAAUGAGUGCUGGGAUGCAGCAUGAAGUGGGCAGCUGUGUGUUAAGAGAAAUGACCAGCCUUUCCUCAGUUUUCUAACUGGAAGCACUUAGAAAAGCUAAAGAGAAUUGGGCACCAAAAGAAGGGCUGUGCUUCUCAGGUGAAGGAAAGCACACUAUUUCAAGGAAUGGUGAGACGUAAGGUCCCCUCGAUUCUCAGGUAGGUGUAUCCUUGCUUAGCACACAGAUCCUAAUCUGAUGCACCCAUAUUCCUCCCCAUGCUUGGAUUCAAUUAGAAGUACCAAGCCCCCAAAAUUUAGGCACCUGUAAUGGUGGCUGAAUUUUCAAAUAUGGGUCUUACUCCCCAGCCGUGUCGUGGAAAUUCACAAAGAUAGUUUUGAUCUACAUUAUUGAUGUAAAUCAAGGAUAAUCUUCCUGGAGUCACUCCAGGAUAUAAUUGUUUCUGAGAUAAUUAACAUUUCCUUCUAUGUGUAUAAAUGAUCUGUGCUGGCUCUUGAGUUUGAGGGAGAAUUGAACAACAUUGAUUUGAAAAUAAAUAGGGAAUUACAAAAUUUAAAACAUCUUGGCUAACCUGCAGCUAGGGAAAUAAGGCAGUAUUUAAAGAAUUAAGUUUACACAGAUGUGAAGUAACAGUCUUUAGUGGGUAUCUUAGAAACUAGAAAACAAAACCACCACUACCAUGAAGAACAACAAAAAAGAGGAAAACUUGUGGAGAUUAAAGAUCCCACUAACAUAAAACAUAGUUAGUUGUUAUUUUUUUUUCCUUUUCUGAGGAAAAAACCAGAUGAUAAUGGAUGCAGAGCUAGCUUGUGAUCACGCUCAUUACUACCUUGUUAUCAAAGCAAGAACCAGAUGGCAUGACCUAGCAAGGAAUUUUCAGGAAACGACAGUGAAGGAAAUGGCAUUAUACAGCCAAGGGACUUGAAGCAAGUCUUGUUCGGAUUUGGCAUUCUGAUCACCCCAGAAGAAUUUAAGCAGCUUUGGGCAAGAAAGCUGGAAGUGCAAGGGGAGUUGAAUCCAGGCCUCUGAACUCCUCAGAUUUCACAUAAGGCCCUGGAAAGCCAUAAAUGACUCUUAAGCCAGAGUCAUCAUUUGACGGAUUAAAUCCAUCUGCGUGGUGGCUGUGGAGGCAGCAAUCCAGCUGAGUGUCACCCUUCCACUCCAGGACCACGGAAGACAAAUGAGAUGCAGGAAGCACAGCCUUUACUUUCAUUAGGAAGAUUUAAGUGGAAGAUGAUAGUGGUGAUGAAGAGUGGCACUGAAAGUAACAUACAGUUGAAAAGGACUCCAGAAUUUUUCUGCAGUGAGUGUACAACACAAACCAUGUCACAGCUUCAAAGCACAGGCUUGCAAGAUGGAAGGAGCAUUGCUAAAUAUAUUGUCCUCCAGGGCUGGAAGGGAUAAAUUUAGGGAUUACUUCCAAGUUUUCAAUAAGGCCUUUCAUAAAGUGGAUAAAAAUAGAGAUGGCUGUGUAACAGUAUGUGACCUGCACAGGAUACUACAAGAAUUCAACUAUUACCUUGAUCACAAUCAGUUCAGCAGUCUUCUAAUCAGACUGAGGAAGGGCAAAAAGUCAUUCCACCUAAAUCUGCUUGGGAGCUGUCAAGAGAGACACGUCUUCUCACAGAUACAAGUAGUGACUGCUGGCUUUAACACAAUUGCACGAGAGUUUAAAGAUAUUUACUUUUCAAAAGAUAAUACAGUAUCAAAAAAAGAUUUCUGGGAUAUAUGUAACUGACAUUUUCAGUGGCUGACUGAAGAAAAGAAAGCUGUAUUAUUUUGUCUUAAUAUAAGUGUACGACUGGGUAUAUUGGCUAUGGCUAGAGACAUGUGUUUGCAUACUGCUGUGUAUAGACAAGUGGUUUAAAAAUUUGGAUGAACUGAAAAUGUUUUAAGACUAUCAUUCCAUGAACAUUUGUUCCUACAUUUGUGGGAGAUUUUUUUUUCCUUAUCUCUGAGUAUGGUUAUGAACUAUAAUAAUCGCAGGCUUUCUAAAGCAAAGUCAGAGAUGCUAUUGCUAAUAGCGAAGGUGUGAAUUUAAAGCACAGUAGUUCUCUUUC